CACGUAGGGUGCAAGCGUUAAUCGGAAUUACUGGGCGUAAAGCGUGCGCAGGCGGUUGGGCAAGACCGAUGUGAAAUCCCCGGGCUUAACCUGGGAAUGGCAUUGGUGACUGCACGGCUAGAGUGUGUCAGAGGGGGGUAGAAUUCCACGUGUAGCAGUGAAAUGCGUAGAGAUGUGGAGGAAUACCGAUGGCGAAGGCAGCCCCCUGGGAUAACACUGACGCUCAUGCACGAAAGCGUGGGGAGCAAACAGG
rnacentral:rRNA from 1 species